UGGAUAACUGUGGUAAUUCUAGAGCUAAUACAUGCAUUUAAAGAGAGACCGGCAACGGGAUCUCUGCUUUUAUUAGAUUUAAACCAAUGGGGAAUGUUUCGGCAUUCUCAAUUAAAAUGGUUGAACUCUGGAUAAUUUGUUGAUCGCAUGGUCUCGUACCGGCGACGGAUCUUUCAAAUGUCUGCCCUAUCAACUAUUGAAGGUAGUGUCUUGGACUACCUUGGUUGCAACGGGUAACGGGGAAUCAGGGUUCGAUUCCGGAGAGGGAGCCUGAGAAACGGCUACCACAUCUAAGGAAGGCAGCAGGCGCGUAAAUUACCCACUCCCAGCACGGGGAGGUAGUGACGAAAAAUAACAAUACAAGACUCACAUCCGAGGCCUUGUAAUUGGAAUGAGUACACUUUAAAUCCUUUAACAAGGAUCAAUUGGAGGGCAAGUCUGGUGCCAGCAGCCGCGGUAAUUCCAGCUCCAAUAGCGUAUAUUAAAGUUGUUGCGGUUAAAACGUUCGUAGUUGAACUUGUGUUUCGCACGGGCAGUACCUAGGACUAGGUAACUAGGACGGUACCUUGUCUUACUUUCCCUAUCUGUAAAAAGGUUUGGAAAAAGUGCGUGAACGUAUUAUCGGCGUGUUCGUUCUUGUAGCGUUCACAUAAGCCCAUCUCAGUGCUCUUAAUCGAGUGUUGUUGUGGGCCGAUACAAAUUACUUUGAACAAAUUAGAGUGCUUAAAGCAGGCUUGUAAUGCCUGAAUAUUUUGUGCAUGGAAUAAUGAAAUAGGACAUCUGUUCUACUUUCAUUGGUUUUUUAGACCAAGAUGUAAUGAUUAAUGGAAGCAGUUGGGGGCAUUAGUAUUACAACGCGAGAGGUGAAAUUCUUAGACCGUUGUAAGACUGACUAAAGCGAAAGCAUUUGCCAAAGAUGUUUUCAUUUAAUCAAGAACGAAAGUUAGAGGUUCGAAGGCGAUCAGAUACCGCCCUAGUUCUAACCAUAAACGAUGCCAGCUAGCAAUUGAGUGUAGCUACUACUAUGGCUCUUUCAGUCGCUUCUCGGGAAACCAAAGCUUUUGGGCUCCGGGGGAAGUAUGGUUGCAAAGCUGAAACUUAAAGGAAUUGACGGAAGGGCACCACCAGGAGUGGAGCCUGCGGCUUAAUUUGACUCAACACGGGAAAACUUACCAGGUCCGAACAUAAAUGAGUAAGACAGAUUGAUAGCUCUUUCUCGAAUCUAUGGGUGGUGGUGCAUGGCCGUUCUUAGUUCGUGGAGUGAUUUGUCUGGUUAAUUCCGAUAACGAACGAGACUCAAAUAUAUUAAAUAGAUGCAUUCAGGAUUAUGAUGUUGAAGUCUGCAUGCCCUUUUGUUGUUGUUGAUAGGUGGUUUCGGCUGCUUGUUGCAAUGAUAAUGUUGUGGUUGUGUAGGUGGAGUCAUACCUGUUUGUUUGUCUUAAUAUCCAAAAUAGACACUUAGCUUCUUAAAUGGACAAAUUGUGUCUAACAAUAAUGAGAUUGAGCAAUA
rnacentral:rRNA from 1 species